AUACGGAGGGUGCAAGCGUUACUCGGAAUCACUGGGCGUAAAGCGCGCGCAGGCGGGCUGAUAAGUUGGAUGUGAAAGCCUACGGCUCAACCGUAGAACUGCAUCCAAAACUGUCAGUCUAGAGUGUGGGAGAGGAAGAUGGAAUUAGUUGUGUAGGGGUAAAAUCCGUAGAGAUAACUAGGAAUACCAAAAGCGAAGGCAAUCUUCUGGAACACUACUGACGCUCAGGCGCGAAGGCGUGGGGAGCAGACAGGAUUAGAAACCCCGGUAGUCC
rnacentral:rRNA from 1 species